AGAGUUUGAUCAUGGCUCAGAUUGAACGCUGGCGGCAUGCCUUACACAUGCAAGUCGAACGGCAGCACGGGAGCAAUCCUGGUGGCGAGUGGCGAACGGGUGAGUAAUACAUCGGAACGUGUCCUGUAGUGGGGGAUAGCCCGGCGAAAGCCGGAUUAAUACCGCAUACGCUCUACGGAGGAAAGGGGGGGAUCUUAGGACCUCCCGCUACAGGGGCGGCCGAUGGCAGAUUAGCUAGUUGGUGGGGUAAAGGCCUACCAAGGCGACGAUCUGUAGCUGGUCUGAGAGGACGACCAGCCACACUGGGACUGAGACACGGCCCAGACUCCUACGGGAGGCAGCAGUGGGGAAUUUUGGACAAUGGGCGCAAGCCUGAUCCAGCAAUGCCGCGUGUGUGAAGAAGGCCUUCGGGUUGUAAAGCACUUUUGUCCGGAAAGAAAACCUCCGCCCUAAUAUGGUGGGGGGAUGACGGUACCGGAAGAAUAAGCACCGGCUAACUACGUGCCAGCAGCCGCGGUAAUACGUAGGGUGCAAGCGUUAAUCGGAAUUACUGGGCGUAAAGCGUGCGCAGGCGGUCCGCUAAGACAGAUGUGAAAUCCCCGGGCUUAACCUGGGAACUGCAUUUGUGACUGGCGGGCUAGAGUAUGGCAGAGGGGGGUAGAAUUCCACGUGUAGCAGUGAAAUGCGUAGAGAUGUGGAGGAAUACCGAUGGCGAAGGCAGCCCCCUGGGCCAAUACUGACGCUCAUGCACGAAAGCGUGGGGAGCAAACAGGAUUAGAUACCCUGGUAGUCCACGCCCUAAACGAUGUCAACUAGUUGUCGGGUCUUCAUUGACUUGGUAACGUAGCUAACGCGUGAAGUUGACCGCCUGGGGAGUACGGUCGCAAGAUUAAAACUCAAGGAAUUGACGGGGACCCGCACAAGCGGUGGAUGAUGUGAUUAUUCGAUGCACGCGAAAACCUUACCUACCCUUGACAUGUAUGGAAUCUGCUGAGAGU
rnacentral:rRNA from 1 species